UAUUAGCUGUCUUUGUUUCCAAAAUUUAACGCCAGCUCAGGCAGCUUUACCAUAAAUUCUUUAUUAGCUUUCCGUAUUCCAAAUGUUGUUCUAUCUUUGCAAAUAAUACGCAAACACUGUCCCUUUUGCAGACUUAGUAUUUUUUUGAGAACCGCUCUAUGCUAGGAGCUCUUCAACACUGUGCAUAAAUUUCGUUUUCGCUUACAUUUACCAGCUCCGAGACGUGAUACAGUGACGUAUGCGAUGCACAUGACUGUGCCAAAUGCUUUCGGAAAGACGUCGAGGUAUGGGGACUAGUGUUGCGUCAGAGCGCCGCGGGUGACGUAGAUGGCGUAUAGAAUGUCGUCAACAAGCGCUCGAUUGAGCAUACCCGUGAAAUUGUUGUGACAGCAGAUGUUUGCAAAGCGAUUUGCAUUCUAAUUUCUAGUCUGAGCUGUUGGUCUUUGGUUUUGUCUAUACGGCGAUAUAACACAAAGAGUUUCACAGGGGCGCAUUAGCGCUUUAGUUAAUGGUGUAUAGUUUAUAGGUUGUAUAUUGGUUGGUGAGAUAUCUGUGUCUCGUUCUAUGAUUUCCGUAUUUAUUUGUGGCUAUGUACUUUAGGUUUUAUAUUGACUGUAGCCCGGUUUACUCUUGUGUACCUGGGCUAUUCGCUCGGACGAAUGUGAUUCGCAAUUCUUUUAUUGGGUAAGUGAGUGUUCUGUAUUCAGCCUAAUUUCUAAUUCUGUACAUUUGGAAAUGAUCUCUUGUGUUGCGAAGGCUAUUCCUGGACGUAUACACUACAAGACGUCUAAAUUUAAACGCGGCCUGUUGAUUUUGGACAAUUUGGUGUCUUUGCGUAGAACUGUUCAAGGCCAAGGAGACAUAUCAUCGCUGGAGUAUUAAUGAUUCGAAGUCUUGUAUCACGCUGCACUAUUUCUGUUGGGGUAUAAAUUAGUUGAAUUGCUGUACGUAAUAUUUUUGAACGUGUCCGUGUUGGCGUUUUCGUAAUCUUUCUUAUCGUAGUUCUUGUAAUCGCUGUCUAAUGACUUUGCUUCAAAGUUGUGUAGGAUGGAUCGUGUGGGAGGUAUUACUGAUUAGCGCUCUUAUUUUUGUUGGGGUAGUGAGUUAUCAAAAGUGGCUAUGCGUAUUGCAUAUAUUCGCGCUAUAUUAUAACGUCAUCAACUCUUUGAGGAUAUUUCAGCUACUUUAUUAUUGAUCUGCUCUCUGACUCUGUUGUGUUUUGGUUCUCUGAGACUGAGGAGUGAAGAUUAGUUCGGCCAUCACGUGGAAUAUAUUUUAUACUCAUUAUUUUCUUUGCCUUUUGAAAGACUUGGGAAUGUUUACAGUUUAGUAGUUUGCAGCCCCCAUAUGAGCCUGAAAAUAUAUCGGUGACGUCUCGACUGAGGAAAGUGUUAUGUUUGUAAUUCGUUGUCUCUAUAAAAGACGGCUUGGUUCUUUGUCUUCGGUAAUUAUCGGCGCUAUCGCCUAUAAUUUCAUCAUGCAUUGCCUUCUUACGAAACUCGUCAUUCUCUGAAGAUUGGCUUCGUUUUGUUAUGACCUUUCAUUCCUUUUCAAUGUAAGAUUUCACACAAGAAACAGACAAAGACGCUGCUUCUAGGCCUUCUAUAAUGUAGCUGCGAAGUCAAAGACAGUCACGUUUAACAUCACGUUGUAAUAUAGGUUUAACAUUGCAAUUGACGCUAGUCAACUUGAGAGAGUCAAAGGACAAAGACUCCGAUAUUUCGCCACGAGAGUUAAAUAAAGGCUGAUUAAUUUCAGUGUAUGAAUUCAGGAACUACUGAGUAGAAAUAAUUGUCAAAAUAUGAUUUUUAUGUUCUACUAAUUUGAAUCUUUCUCAUUGCCGGGAAACUUAAGAAGUGUGUUCAAGGAUUAUGAAUAUAUUAUUGUGUUGGAUUGUUGAUGUGUUUAUAAACCUCCGAGGAUGAUUAGAUUGUUCUGAACCAACGCUUUCGUCACUCGAUCUAUCAAUUCACUCUCAUUCAUAGAACAUUUUAUCGCGCCAUGCAUCGAUCAUUUUACCAUAUAUAGCACAAGGUUUCACGAAUUUUGCGAGCGGCUUACAACCUGUCAUCUUUCGCGAUUCACACAGGCAGCAUUCCAUAAAUUCUUCUAUAGUGCUAACACUUACAUAAUACAGGAUGCGAAUAAUAUCAUGUAACAUUGUUUUUCGAUAAUCUUCUCCCAUUACAAAUGUCUACCCUGUUUUGUUUUCACAAAAACACAUGAAAAUAGGUGCCGUAGAUCGCAUUCCGCUGCAUUUACAGUUGUAACAACAACAGUAAACUUAUAAUGUUUAUAUCUUCUGUCUCGCUAAGCGAUGUUUUGGAAAAUGAUCACAAAUUUCCGCAAAGCAUCCGACCAAAAAAGGUUAAGAGGUCAAGCGUAUGGCGUCAUAUUUCCGCCAAAAUUAAAGAUCGUAUU